GGUUUUGCUGUCUGGGGCACAGCAGCCAGACCCCUCCUGCCUGGGAAAGGCUUUGUGCUGGCCAGCCCCAAACACAACCCAGAGCAAUCCCCCCUCUGCAGGCACUGACCCAGCUCGGAGCAGCCCGGGGGAUGGAUCCCAGCUCGGGGGCAAAGGGGUCAAGGGCAGAUCUGAAUUUCCUCCUAUCUCAGCAGAGAUGGCAUGGAGGAUGUGUCAGGAGUCAAAUGAUGCAGAGAAAACUUCCCAGUGCCCUGGAAGGACUUUGGCAGCUUCACAGCCCUGCUGAGCCUCACCCUGUUCCUAAACACGAGGGCACAAGUGACUCAGGCCUGGCCCUGAAGGAAAAGCAUCCACAGGCGUCACUGAUAAGAUUCCUGUCAAGAAAGGAGCUGGAGAAGGGAGCUGAAGUGUUCCCAUUGCUUGCUUACCAUUAACACCAGAAGUGAGAAGGCAGCUCUCAAGCUUUAAUAGUUCCCCAACAUUUUCCUCAAGAUUUAAUUAAAAAUAAUAGACAAGGGCACUGUGGCCCUGGACAGCCUGA